rnacentral:rRNA from 1 species
CUCGAAAGAGAGCCGUAACACAGGUGCUGCAUGGCUGUCGUCAGCUCGUGUCGUGAGAUGUUGGGUUAAGUCCCGCAACGAGCGCAACCCUUGUCAUUAGUUGCUACAUUCAGUUGGGCACUCUAAGGUGACUGCCGGCUAAAAGUCGGAGAAGUGGGGAUGACGUCAAAUCAUCAUGCCCCUUAUGACCUGGGCUACACACGUGCUACAAUGGGCGGUACAAAGGGUCGCGAACCCGCGAGGGGGGAGCCAAUCCCAAAAAGCCGCUCUCAGUUCGGAUUGCAGGCUGCAACUCGCCUGCAUGAAGCCGGAAUCGCUAGUAAUCGCGGAUCAGCAUGCCGCGGUCGAAUACGUUCCCGGGCCUU